GUGUCAGCAGCCGCGGUAAUACGGAGGGGGCUAGCGUUGUUCGGAAUUACUGGGCGUAAAGCGCACGUAGGCGGCUUUGUAAGUUAGAGGUGAAAGCCCAGGGCUUAACCCUGGAAUUGCCUUUAAGACUGCAUCGCUAGAAUCGUGGAGAGGUGAGUGGAAUUCCGAGUGUAGAGGUGAAAUUCGUAGAUAUUCGGAAGAACACCAGUGGCGAAGGCGACUCACUGGACACGUAUUGACGCUGAGGUGCGAAAGCGUGGGGAGCAAACAGGAUUAGAAACCCCAGUAGUCC
rnacentral:rRNA from 1 species